rnacentral:rRNA from 1 species
AAUGAACGUUGGCGGCGUGGAUUAGGCAUGCAAGUCGAGCGUACCCAGCAAUGGGGAAGCGGCAAACGGGGUAGUAAGGCGUCGGUACGUGCCCUCGGGACGAGGAUAGCCACGGGAAACUGUGGGUAAUACUCGAUGAUCUCGUGAGAGCAAAGGUGUGAUUCCGCCAGGGGAGCGGCCGACGUGGUAUUAGGUAGUUGGUGGGGUAAUGGCCCACCAAGCCUGGGAUGCCUAGGGGGUGUGAGAGCAUGGCCCCCACCAUUGGGACUGAGAUACUGCCCAGACACCUACGGGUGGCUGCAGUCGAGAAUCUUCGGCAAUGGGCGCAAGCCUGACCGAGCGACGCCGCGUGCGGGAUGAAGGCCUUCGGUUGUAACCGACUGUCAGAGGGAGUGAAAGUACACAGUGGGUUCGUUCCCACUUGUGUUGACAGAGCCUCAGAGGAAGCGCGGGCUAAGUUCGUG